UUGACCUCGGAUCAGGUAGGAAUACCCGCUGAACUUAAGCAUAUCAAUAAGCCGGAGGAAGGAUCAUUGCUGGAACGCGCC
rnacentral:rRNA from 1 species